rnacentral:rRNA from 1 species
GACGUAGGGGACGAGCGUUGUCCGGAUUCAUUGGGCGUAAAGCGCGCGUAGGCGGUUCGGUAAGUCGGGUGUGAAAACACGAGGCUCAACCUCGUGCGUGCAUCCGAUACUGCCGUGCUUGAGGACUGGAGAGGAGACUGGAAUUUACGGUGUAGCGGUGAAAUGCGUAGAUAUUCGCAAGAACACCAGUGGCGAAGGCGGCUCACUGGCCCGGUACUGACGCUGAGGUGCGAAAGCGUGGGGAGCAAACAGG